GGCUCGGGAGUGGACCUGUGGGAGGGUUCGCAUGAAUUGGGCCAAACCCUGUUUCGCAAGCGGCGCGGUGCCAGAUGCCCAACUGCGCCGCC
rnacentral:ncRNA from 1 species